AAACGCAUAAUUGCUCCCACCUCUCCCACCGCACCGCACCGCACCACCGGACCACCGCACUGCCAAACACUUUCGGAAUGACUUUGGAAGCUUCUUCUCCCUUUGGUCCACCACCGAACCGUUUCGGAAUGAGUUUGGAAGCUUCCUCUACCUUUGGUCCACCACCGAACCGAUUCCUCUACAAACCGUGUUUCCUUUGUGCAAAGUGUGUUUCGAUUGCUUUCCGCAAGGAUCGAUUUGUUCAUUUCAUAUACUCUUGCUUAAUUUUGUCGUUGAUUUUGUUUAAUUUUGUCGUUGAUUUUGUUUCCGUGGUGAUUUUUGUUUUCUUCUUAAUUUUCUCAAUCUAUACUCAAAUUUGGACUCUCUCUUUAUUGAACGUGAUAGAACGGUGGAGUGGAGAGGUGUUGGUUAAUUGAAAAGAUGGAUGGUGAUGAAGGAAAAGGAUUAGGAGUGAGAGAGGUUGGUGAUCUUUGUACAAUGCUUCUCUCUUCUCAACUUCCUUUACAAUAUUUCUUUCUUCUAAUAUAAUAUUUUCCAAAUUUCCCAUUUAUUUGAGCCUGAGACAGAUUUAUUUUGGAUCUUAUCAAUAACCUUCCUAGGUUCUCACUAAAAUUUGUCUUUUAUUUUCUAAAAGUUUACAAAAAAUAGGUGUUUUCUAUAAUACAGAUCAUCUAGGUGAAGCUUUGAAAUAUGCCUACCUUGAGCUUUCAAAUUAAAACAAUGUUUUAUAUUUUCUUGUGUAUGAAAAUAGGCUUUUCACAAUGUCCUCUCCUAAUGUGAUGUGAGAAUCUCUUUGAAAUUUAUAAUUCUGCUCUCAGCAUUUGCACAAUAACUAUUGUAGUAAAGUCCAGCAUACCAGAAUGGAUGCUUGUGAUUUUUUUUAUUUGGUUCCAUAGAAAGUGGAGAAAAUAAUCAGAGGAGAAAGAGAGAGGAACAAAGAAGAAAGAUACAAGCUCCGGUGCCAUGCAACUCCCUUAGGCUAACCUUUUUCUGUUUCUAUGUUAGUUUUAUUGAUUAUAAGUUUUCUUGGUUUUUUAAGAUAGCUUUGGCUGGUAGUCUGUUGCUAGUUGGGCACAACAUAAAGUAGCUAUUAUUGUGCAUAGUUUUUAGAUGUAUCACUUGGAAGUGCUGUUUGCUUUGAGUUUUUAUUUGACAUUUUUUUCUCUUGUUAUGAAAUUCUGGUUACCUUUUCCUUGCUGCCACAGUGCCAGUGACCUCUCUGUGCAACCUUCAUUUCGUGGUGGUUAUCUGGCCUUUACAUUGCUUGUAAUUGAAUUACCGUAAUUCUAUUAUAUAACUCUUGCUAAUGAUGGAGUUCCAUAAGAAUAAGAAUUUCCAUAGUUUAUGAAUAGUAACUGAAAUAUUGAGCCGUAUCUAAACCUUUAUCUUCUGAUAUGGUUAAACAGUAGUUGUGAUGUCUUAAACUUACCUUACCAGCAUGCUUGCAAAAACAGAACCUAAUGAUAUAUUGAAUUCAUAAAAUUUGUUGGUUUAAUUAUGGGUAAAUCUGAAUCAUGCUUAGCAUUGUAAAAUAUAUUCUCUUGUUGAUUUUUUUUUCUUUGUGUUUCUUAAAUUAUUUGUCUGCUACGUACUAUACUUCAUAUUAGCAUCUGAUAUUGCACUUAUUAAUUCUCUUUAACAUUUCUUAUGCUCUGAA
rnacentral:lncRNA from 1 species